UGGGGAAUAUUGGACAAUGGGCGCAAGCCUGAUCCAGCCAUGCCGCGUGAGUGAUGAAGGCCCUAGGGUUGUAAAGCUCUUUCACCGGUGAAGAUAAUGACGGUAACCGGAGAAGAAGCCCCGGCUAACUUCGUGCCAGCAGCCGCGGUAAUACGAAGGGGGCUAGCGUUGUUCGGAUUUACUGGGCGUAAAGCGCACGUAGGCGGACUAUUAAGUCAGGGGUGAAAUCCCGGGGCUCAACACCGGAACUGCCUUUGAUACUGGUAGUCUUGAGUUCGAGAGAGGUGAGGGGAAUUCCGAGUGUAGAGGUGAAAUUCGUAGAGAUUCGGAGGAACACCAGUGGCGAAGGCGGCUCACUGGCGCGAUACUGACGCUGAGGUGCGAAAGCGUGGGGAGCAAACAGG
rnacentral:rRNA from 1 species